rnacentral:lncRNA from 1 species
GGUUCACAGAAGCAGCCUCGGCUGUAGCCAGAAGCAGGAGCCUUAGCGCAUGGAAUGUCCAGUACAACCUCAGCCACAGAGCCUGAUGUUCUGAGCACCGUUCCCUGCCCACUUUCUCUAUGAACCUGACCUAGGGGGAGUUGGCCACCUCAUCAUGUCACCCAGAACCUGGUGAAAUAGUAAUGCAUGAGAAUGUCAGCGCUGAAAAAGGGUUUCUCAUCCUCUGGAGCUCUGCUGUAAGUACUGCAAGGCCACCUACUGCGGUUGCUGGUGAAAGCCCAUACCUGGCGGUCACCCUGCUCAGACACAAUGGGGACUUCACAGGUUUUGCCUGGCAUUCUGCAGAAGCAUUGCUGUAUCUUACCAGACAGGAAUACAGGUAAGCAAAUUUCCAUUUUUUGUUUUGGAAACAGAUUUUUUUUAAUGUGAUCUCAUAAUUUAGG